rnacentral:rRNA from 1 species
GACGAACGCUGGCGGCGUGCCUAAUACAUGCAAGUAGAACGCUGAAGAGAGGAGCUUGCUCUUCUUGGAUGAGUUGCGAACGGGUGAGUAACGCGUAGGUAACCUGCCUGGUAGCGGGGGAUAACUAUUGGAAACGAUAGCUAAUACCGCAUGAUAUUAAUUGUCGCAUGAUAAUUAAUUGAAAGAUGCAAUUGCAUCACUACCAGAUGGACCUGCGUUGUAUUAGCUAGUUGGUGAGGUAACGGCUCACCAAGGCGACGAUACAUAGCCGACCUGAGAGGGUGAUCGGCCACACUGGGACUGAGACACGGCCCAGACUCCUACGGGAGGCAGCAGUAGGGAAUCUUCGGCAAUGGGGGGAACCCUGACCGAGCAACGCCGCGUGAGUGAAGAAGGUUUUCGGAUCGUAAAGCUCUGUUGUAAGAGAAGAACGGGUGUGAGAGUGGAAAGUUCACACUGUGACGGUAUCUACCA